rnacentral:rRNA from 1 species
AAGAAGGUAUCUUUGAGGCUGGCUCUUGUCUAUGUUCCUUGGAACAGGACGUCACAGAGGGUGAGAAUCCCGUGCGAUGAGAAGUCCAGUUUCGUGUAAAGUUCCUUCGACGAGUCGAGUUGUUUGGGAAUGCAGCUCUAAGUGGGUGGUAAAUUCCAUCUAAAGCUAAAUAUUUGCGAGAGACCGAUAGCGAACAAGUACUGUGAAGGAAAGAUGAAAAGAACUUUGAAAAGAGAGUGAAAAAGUACGUGAAAUUGUUGAAAGGGAAGGGCUUGAGGUCAGACUUGGUUUACCAGGCCAGCAUCAGUUUGGGUGGCAGGAUAAUAGCUAAGGAAAGUGGCACAAUUUCGGUUGUGUGUUAUAGCCUUGGUUGAUACUGCCUGCCUAGACUGAGGACUGCGUCUUUGACUAGGAUGCUGGCAUAAUGACCUUAAGCCGC